rnacentral:rRNA from 1 species
GGAGUUAGCCGGUGCUUCUUCUGUGAGUGAUGUCCUUCCUGCCGGCUAUUAACCCGCAGGCCUUCUUCCUCACUGAAAGUGCUUUACAACCCGAAGGCCUUCUUCACACACGCGGCAUGGCUGGAUCAGGGUUGCCCCCAUUGUCCAAUAUUCCCCACUGCUUCCUCCCGUAGGAGUCUGGGCCGUGUCUCAGUCCCAGUGUGGCUGAUCAUCCUCUCAGACCAGCUACGGAUCGUCGCCUUGGUGAGCCGUUACCUCACCAACCAGCUAAUCCGACAUAGGCUCAUCCGAUAGCGCGAGGCCCGAAGGUCCCCCGCUUUCCCCCGUAGGGCGUAUGCGGUAUUAGCCUGGGUUUCCCCAGGUUAUCCCCCACUACCGGGCAGAUUCCUAUGCAUUACUCACCCGUCCGCCGCUCGCCACCAGGGAGCAAGCUCCCCGUGCUGCCGCUCGACUUGCAUGUGUUAGGCCUGCCGCCAGCGUUCAAUCUGAGCCAGAAUCAAACUCUGA